CACAGCCAUCUGAUGGUGUGCGCGUGCCACCUAGUGUCGAAUAAAAAAUCACUAAAAAGUAAAUACUGGUUGAUUAAAAUUAAUUAUUGGUUUGAGUACAAACAACUUUCGUCCUUAUUGAUAAAAGGGAUUCUUAAAAAAAAAAGGUUUUUUGCUGUAACUUUUUCAACCCCUACUUUGUCAUAUUUUACAUGUCUUUGUGUAACAAGAGCCUUAACAGUUACAAGUUUACAACAGUUUAACCACAAAACCAUGGAUGUCACGGAGUCGAAAGGAUUUUACAGAUUUAAUGGAAGUAGUGAAAAGAAUUUAGAUAUGUUUCCUCCACCACCACAAACUUAUGUUCCAAGCUCGCCCACUUUUGACACUCUCUAUGGUAAACCAGUUCAAAAUAUAAAAAGUGUCCCAUCGGCUCAUUUCAGCUGGCAGGGAAGGAAUUGGAGAAGCGAUGACGAGACGUGGCAUGCACCCAAGCAAGCUGUCCUUCCUCCAAUAGGUGUUUUCUGGGAUAUUGAAAAUUGUCAGAUUCCCCAUGGGAAAUCUGCAUUAGUUGUUGCACAGGCAAUAAGAGCUAAAUUUUUCGAGGGAUACCGUGAAGCAGAAUUCCUUGUUGUAUGUGAUGUUAAAAAAGAGAGCAAUCAAGUCAUUCAGGAAUUGAAUGAUGCACAGGUUAAUUUGAUGCAUGUGUGUUCUAAAAGUAAAAAUGCCGCUGAUGAAAAAUUAAGACAAGCUUUGAGGAGGUUUGCUGAAAUCCAUAGUUUUCCCUCUGCGAUAAUUUUGAUCUCGAGUGAUAUUGAUUUUGCCACGGACCUUUCGGAUUUGCGGCAUAGGAAAAAGAUACAUAUAAUUUUAUUACAUGCAAACUCAUGUUCAGAGUCAUUAAUAAUGUGUGCCAAUGAACAUUAUAAUUUUGGGGAAUUGGUGAACCCCUUACCAUCUAGAGGAUCAUUUCAGGACACUGAUCAAACAACAGAGCUUGUUGUUUGGUAUCCUUACAAUUGUGAUACCAAAAAAGUGAAAAUGAGGUUGAAAUAUCUUUCUCAGAAUUGCGGUGGAAAGAUAUCGUUUGUAUCUGAGUUUUAUGCGAUUAUUUCAUUCCCAACAAUGGAUUCAGCGAUAAGGGCUCACAAGAGAAUGAAAGGAGAGACAUUAUUUGGAAGUGAGAUUACAAUAACUACCCCACAUUUGUUUCUAAGCAAGAAAAAUAAUGGUUCUUAUCCUACGUUUACAAGUUUUGAUGGAUUGGAACAAAAAAGUAGAAAGCGUUCAUUGCCAUUAUGGUACACACCAGAUGAAAGACAUUUCAAUGGAGAAUGCAAAAGUUUCAAUGAAAUUGGAACUUACAAUACACCGCAAGAAUUGCUUAAUAAUUAUGUUUAUAUGGGAUUUAAUGUGACAAAUGAAUUAUUUGUCUCUCCUUGGAACAGGCCUCACAUAAUUACACAAAAUGAACAAAUCAUAAAUCCUUCUGGUGCAGGUAAUCUGUCUAUUGAAGAAAUAUCAGAGCAAUCUUCUGCAUUUGAACGCUUCAAAAAUAAUCACAGUGGAUUUAGUUGCAAUGAAACAGCCAAUUCUGAACUGAAGAUAAGUGUUUUGUCUAAUUUCCAUCCAGUAAACAAUGGAAUAGAUAAUGUAACUCAUCAGUGCGACCCAUUGAUAAAUAGUACCAAAGACAGGCAAACAGCAUUCGAAGUUUUAUUAUCAAUUGAUGAAAGUUCUAUGCAAUCAUCUGUGAGUGAAACAUCCACUGUACAAACCGAUAACGAAAUUGCAAGCUCUUUAAAGCCACCAGUUGAAAGAUUAUCGUCUUUACUGUACAAUAAUAGCAAGGAGAAACUUGCUGUUGCAAAAGAUUCCAUUCCUGAUGAUUCUAUUUCCACCAGACAAAACAAACAUAAAAUUAUGGGUCAUUGCUUGAAACACACGAAAAAAGAGUGUGUUGAAGAGUGCAAUGAUAUGACAGUUUCACCACUGUCAAAAAUAGUAAUCUGCCUUAAGACAUUUUCAAAAAAUGUUCGCACACUUCUACAUUCCCAUGAUAACAUCCUCCCGCUCCAAAGUUUUUUUUAUUGUUACACAACUGAAUUUGGAGAGUUGACAAUAAGUGAUGAAGGGGUACCAUUGGAACACCUGGUCACGUGUAUCGACAACGUUGAGCUAUCUGUGUCAAAUGGUAUAAAAUACUUACAACAGUCAAUUACUAAAAUGAAUGAAGAGUUUGUGGAUACAGGUAAUCUCUUACCAUUUCGCAGCGAAACAUUAACAAAUGCGCUAACAAUUUUUUGCUGUGAGGUCAUUGACUUGAUAAAGACUCAGCCAUAUUGUCAAAUACCAUUUGAUAAAUUCAUUAAAUGUUAUAAUCAUUAUUAUGGAAGACAAUGUCAUCUGGCUGAUUAUGGGUUUGCUCACCUGAAAAGUUUAUUUGAAGCUGUAGCCGAUGUGAUCCAGGUAAUGGGCGAAAGUAAUUCAAAAAUAAUCACACUGACACACAAGACACAGAUGAGGAGGUUCUCUUUGGAUUUUGUUAGAAUAUUACGGCUCCAAACUGACCAAAAAAUCUUGCUAUCUGAACUUCCUUCAAUUUUCGAGAACAUCCUCUUACAUCCUUUCAACCCGGUUGACUAUGGUGUUUGUAAAGUUGAAGACCUCAUUAGUUGCAUUUCAUCUAGUCUUUUAACUAGCCCAGCUGAUAAUGACAUUAUAAUUUAUUUAAAAACAAAACAAUCAAAAGAUAAGACAUGCAAACUCAACAAGUCUCAAUGUUUGAAGAAAGGAAAAAAUAAAAAGGAAAGUCAAUCAUUAACUGAAAAAUCUGAUUCAGUGGUUACCAAAUUAUCUAAUCUGUCAAUUGCUCCAUCUGACGUUCAUCAACCGUCUUCAUGUUCUCCAAAUUCAUCUUUACAAGACAAACCUACAACUUCUAAGUCCAAACGAUCUCAAUGGGAAACUUUAUUGGAUUCUCCGCCUUGUGAUAACACUGCAAGCUCAUCCACCAGUGAUUUACCACCGUCAACAACUAGCCACACUAAGAAAAAUGGCCAAUUAAUCAUUUCACCGGACCCUUCAAUACUUCCACAUCCAAAUAUCCAUCUCAAAUCCAAGCCCUGGAUCCGGCAUGUAGAACACCAAACAUAAAGAUGUAAAUUUGAUAUCACCACCAAAUAGUGGUAAUAAUUACUGUGGCUGUCAUCAGAGUCUAUUAUUAAAAUUAGUUGAGGGUACUUUGUUCCUAGACAUGGGGUACAAUAAUUAUGACAAUUAUGCUAAAUUUAAUUUCCUGAUACCUGGUAUCCCAGAUAGCGAUUAUUGAUUUAUACAAUCUUAAAUCUGCAUGCAUGCACAACACACACAUGUACAGAGUUGAGUGUCAACAGCUAAGUAGUGGAUGCAGUUCCUAAAUCCAAAACUAUUCACACUCUCAAUUAAAAAUACAUUUUUCCUAUUUUCCAUGCACCAUCACCUCCAUAGCUUCUCCGGAGAGAAAAUGUUGCAGGGAUAUAUCGCUCUCUUGUUUUUCUCCAAACCCUCUCUUGGCAAUCAGAAGACCUCAAACUGACUCAUCUGGCAAGAUUUUAGCCAGUUGAUGUGAUUUCUAGCAAAACUAAACCGAGCUGUUCUGUGCCUUGUCAAAAGUUCUGGACCAGUGGAUCGCCUUCUCGCAUGUAAUCCAGCUUCUUAAAGCCUUCACUUGAUCUCUCCUGAGAUGUGGCAUGAUGGUAUCUUGAUAACGACGGAAGACUCUUUGAACAGUUGUUCUGGAAAUGUAACCAACCUGACCACAUACGUUUCACUUUCCCAUCUUCCAAAAUACUAUGAUACUAGCCGAAUCUAUAUCACUUAAAACCAUCACUCAAACAAAUUUGAAACUUAAAAAAUUAAACCACCGGAACAUUA
rnacentral:misc_RNA from 1 species